rnacentral:lncRNA from 1 species
GGCCACCUGCAGCAGGAACCACGCCAGACACCCCUCUGCCAGGGUGGAGGCUCACCCACAGGGACCUUCUUCUGCUUGAACAUCUGUGCAUUUUAAUAUAACUUCCCAAAAUAUUACCCUGCAAUUAUUUCCAAAGAUUUAAAUGGGAUCCCCAAAUACAUACAAUUAAGACCAAAAUUGUAAUUUUAAAUUACUGUUAAUUUGAAUAAACAUAAAACUUUCCCAUCUCCAAGCCAGAUGCAGAAAGCAAAAUCCCAAUGAACCCUCUGAUGAUGCUGAGCUCCUGAGGAAGGUGCCUCUGGACCCUCCCAGGGAGAAACAGUCCCUGAACCACGCAGGUCCUGGCAGCGAAGUCCAGAAACCAUGUAUUUUCUACCUGAGAGAUGGAGAGUUUCUCCAGUCACUUGCUAAAGCUGCAGCACUGCCUUGGGUCCAGGAACUACAGCGGCUGUCUCAGACAGCGUCUCCCAGGAGGCCACCAGCACGGGGACGGGACGCUCAGUGUGAGCCGGUUUGCUGCCCGAGCCUGGCAGGGGUGAGUAGC